AUGGAACAGCUCCGGUCCUGGGCUUCCUGCAGAGCUGGGUGGCCGGUGACCCCGAGCGCUUCGUCCCCACGAAAAAGUUCUGCCCCCGCAGUCCCAUUCCCAAACGGGAAAGCACUUUCGUGCUCGACUGACGCCAUGGCCGCGUUCUUCUUGGGUGCUCGGAACAGCGUGAUGAAGCUGUCGUCUGGGAUCCCGUGUCCGGGAGGCGGACCGAACUGCGAGAGUCUGACUACUUCUGCGCAGCCGCGAUGCUCUGCUCCGUGGACGGCUGCGACCAUGCAGCCUGCAACUCGGGCCCGUUUUCCGUGGCUUGUAUCGAGGAUGAGGGAUGUGUGGAUGAUGACGAACAUUCUCUCCUACGGGCGUCUGUGUACUCAUCAUACACCCAGAAGUGGACUUCUCCGGCCUGUAUUCACAUAG
rnacentral:rRNA from 1 species